AGGGGCGGAGCCAAGUGGUAAGGCAGCGGUCUUUGAUCCCGCCCUCCGUUGGUUGGAAUCCCGCCGCCCCUGCCA
rnacentral:tRNA from 1 species